GGACUACUGGGGUAUCUAAUCCUGUUUGCUCCCCACGCUUUCGCACCUCAGCGUCAGUACCGGACCAGUAAGCCGCCUUCGCCACUGGUGUUCUUGCGAAUAUCUACGAAUUUCACCUCUACACUCGCAGUUCCACUUACCUCUUCCGGACUCAAGAUCCCCAGUAUCAGAGGCAGUUCUGGAGUUGAGCUCCAGGAUUUCACCCCUGACUUAAAGAUCCGCCUACGUGCGCUUUACGCCCAGUGAUUCCGAGCAACGCUAGCCCCCUUCGUAUUACCGCGGCUGCUGGCAC
rnacentral:rRNA from 1 species